GAUAAACGCUGGCGGCGUGCAUAACACAUGCAAGUCGAACGAGUGGCGAACGGGUGAGUAACACGUGGUAACCUGCCUUACACAAGGGGAUAGCCUCUGGAAACGGAGAAUAAUACCCUAUAGUGUAAGAUGGACUUGCGUCUGAUUAGUGAGUUGGUGAGAUAAAAGCUCACCAAGGCGACGAUCAGUAGCUGGUCUGCGAGGAUGACCAGCCACACCAGAACUGAGACACGGUCCAGACUCCUACGGGAGGCAGCAGUGGGGAAUAUUGCACAAUGGGCGCAAGCCUGAUGCAGCCAUGCCGCGUGGAUGAAGAGGGCCUUCGGGUUGUAAAGUACUUUCAGCGAGGAGGAGUUACUCGCAGAAGAAGCACCGGCUAACUCCGUGCCAGCAGCCGCGGUAAUAC
rnacentral:rRNA from 1 species